AUAUGAAUCAUUACUCCUUACCCAGGCAGUAAUGUUCCCGAAGUUUUCUCUUCGUUCUAUGUUUCAUGGUAGUUUAACCUUAUUAACUCUUCUGCAGGCUUUUUGUACACUUAAGAAAACUCUUUAACUCUUGUUGUUUACUUUUUUUCUGGAGCUGGAGGAGGGAAUGAUAUUCAGUGGUGUUUUUCUCAGGUGAAAGGAGCAGUAGAUGAUGAUGUAGCAGAAGCAGAUAUAAUUUCUACAGUAGAAUUUAAUCAUUCUGGAGAAUUACUAGCAACAGGAGAUAAAGGUGGUAGAGUUGUCAUCUUUCAACAGGAGCAGGAGCGCCUUUGACCUGAGGAUCUCAAAGUGCUUUACAAACACUAAUGAAUUAAUCCUCACAACACCCCAGUGAGAACAAAAUCCAGUCUCAUAGCAGAGGAGAAUAUAAUGUUUACAGCACCUUCCAGAGCCAUGAACCAGAGUUUGACUACUUGAAAAGUUUAGAAAUAGAAGAAAAGAUCAACAAAAUUAGGUGGUUACCCCAGAAAAAUGCUGCUCAGUUUUUAUUGUCUACCAAUGAUAAAACAAUAAAA
rnacentral:sRNA from 1 species